AAGCCCAUGAUAUAGGCACAAUCUCAACAAAUCUUUAAAACGCUCUCAAGUGUCAAACUGUGGUUCCCCUUCUUCGUACAUAAAGUUAGAUAUCUCACUUCUAAUUU